AGAUGUUCCUGCAGGUGGCCGAAGUGGUGGGAGAGGCCUAUGGACUGGAGCCUAUUCAGCACCUGGACCUGCUGGUGCGGGACUGGACCAGCUCCCAGCUCCUUGGAUUCCGGGGUGGGGAGCAGCAUCUGGGAGACGUCUGGCAGGGGCUGGCGGCGACGUCCCCCUGCAAACACCCCAAGGCCCUGGACGUG